GUAACAAUGGCACCUGUGGAAAAAGUUUGCUCUGUCAGCAACAGCUGAGAACUACAAGCAACACCUUUCAACAAAACACUCACGAGAAUUCUUUGACUUCCUAGGAAUCCUAAUAGCUCACAAGGUUUUCCUUCAUUACUGCAACUUGAGGACCAGUUUCCCAGGCCCAUCCUCAAUUGUACCACUUCAUGAAAUCUGAGACCACGUGUAACAAGGUGACUGUGGAUACUUGGGAUGGUUCAGUUUGGAGCAACUGGAAGAUAACUAUUUAAAACAUAAUAAAAACUAUUUUAAUACUGA